rnacentral:lncRNA from 1 species
AAGAGAGCCUUGGUUCGGUUUCACGCAAUUCUGAAGAGUAUUUCUCCUGCCUCAAGUUAACGUAACCGUCCUUUCCUGGUGCUUGGAAGAGCAUCAGGGAAGAGAAGACUUAGAAAUGCUGCUUGCAGAAUUCACAUGCUCUGAACAGGUGGCAGCAUGACCACUGUGAGUCACAGCUUGUCCAGGGGUGCUCCUACCCAAGUAUGAGAGGCCUUUGUGGCUACAGCUCAGGUGCUACUGAGACAGAGCCUCACAGGGUUGAAGUGGUUUCCCUUGGGUCAGAAGACUGGGGGCUGAGAACGGAGUG